rnacentral:rRNA from 1 species
UGGGGAAUAUUGCACAAUGGGCGCAAGCCUGAUGCAGCCAUGCCGCGUGUAUGAAGAAGGCCUUCGGGUUGUAAAGUACUUUCAGUCGGGAGGAAGGUGGUAAGGUUAAUAACCUUAUCAAUUGACGUUACCGACAGAAGAAGCACCGGCUAACUCCGUGCCAGCAGCCGCUGUAAUACGGAGGGUGCAAGCGUUAAUCGGAAUUACUGGGCGUAAAGCGCACGCAGGCGGUUGAUUGAGUCAGAUGUGAAAUCCCCGGGCUUAACCCGGGAAUUGCAUCUGAUACUGGUCAGCUAGAGUCUUGUAGAGGGGGGUAGAAUUCCAUGUGUAGCGGUGAAAUGCGUAGAGAUGUGGAGGAAUACCGGUGGCGAAGGCGGCCCCCUGGACAAAGACUGACGCUCAGGUGCGAAAGCGUGGGGAGCAAACAGG